rnacentral:rRNA from 1 species
CCUACGGGGCGCUGCAGUGAGGAAUAUUGGUCAAUGGUCGGGAGACUGAACCAGCCAAGCCGCGUGAGGGAUGAAGGUACAGAGUAUCGUAAACCUCUUUUGUCAGUGAACAAAGGCGGGGACGCGUCCCCGGACGAGUGUACCUGAAGAAAAAGCAUCGGCUAACUCCGUGCCAGCAGCCGCGGUAAUACGGAGGAUGCGAGCGUUUGCCGGGUUUAUUGGGUUUAAAGGGUGGGUAGGCGGUAGGUCAAGUCAGCGGUAAAAGCCCGGUGCUCAACCCCGGCCCGCCGUUGAAACUGGCAGUCUCGAGUGGGAGAGAAGUAUGUGGAAUGCGCGGUGUAGCGGUGAAAUGCAUAGAUAUCGCGCAGAACUCCGAUUGCGAAGGCAGCAUGCCGGCUCCACACUGACGCUGAGGCACGAAAGCGUGGGUAUCGAACAGGAUUAGAUACCCUGGUAGUC